CGUCACAAGGAAGAGAGUGUCUCCUGAUUGGUAGAGGCCCCCACCGCUCGUGCCGGGGGGUGGGGGGGUUUAGUAGAGUAUUGGGGGAGGGGACAGAACCCCCCAGUCAGUUGUGAACAGAGAGAGAAUUCAGUGUCACUGAGCCGCUGCACGGGGGAGACUGAGGGAGACAGAGCCCGGGGCAGGAGGGCAUAUAGGCUGGCAUGUGUGGGCAUCCCGGGAAUAGGGAAGUCGUAUAGCAGAGGGGAAGUUGGCAUACAUGGGCAUCAUAGGAAAGUAGAGAUGGAGGGGAUCUCUGCAUAAUACAGGUCCCACCACAUUACUUCCAUUCAAACCCUGAUAGCAGUGAUCCUGAGACAUCACCUAAUCCCUGCACAGGACUGGUCCAGACAAUAAGAUGACAAGGUUGUGCUCCUAAGACCUCCUGCUGCUGGUGGGUAUCGGGGGGCGCUGAGCUGUCACCAGGUCACCCAUCAUCCCCUUGGGCAGGGUCCUAGUGGCCACAUUUUGGGGAUGGGGUCAUUGGUGCAGAUUUUGUUUGUGUGGCAUGUGUUUUCCGGUGCCCAUGCUUUGGUACCUUUGUCAGAUUUCUACCCAUUUGGCCAAAAAAAGGGCGACUCGGUGACCCGCAGGCAGGAUGACGGCGGAUCUGGACUACUACCCAUCUCCAGAGCCUUUACGUUCUUCGGAGACAAGCACAGCGGGCUUUAUGUAAAUAAUAAUGGGGUUGUAUCUUUCCUUCGGGAGGUGUCUCAGUUUACUCCUGUGGCUUUCCCUAUUUCUGGUGAUCGAAGAGUUGUGGCAGCAUUUUGGGCCGAUGUAGAUAACCGCAAAGGAGGGGAUGUUUUCUAUCGGGAGACUGAGGACCCAAGAGACUUGAUUCACGCCAGCCGGGAUGUACAGACUUACUUUCCUGAGUUACCCGACUUCAAUGCUACCUGGGUCUUCAUUGCUACUUGGUACAGAGUCACAUUCUAUGGUGGAGAUGGCAAUUCACCAGUUAACACCUUCCAGAUUGUCUUGAUAACAGACGGACUUCGAUCCUUCACCAUCUUCAACUAUGAAACAGUACAGUGGACGACUGGUCGACAUGCAAGUAGUGGUGGUGAUAGCUGGGGUAGAGGUGGCAUUGCUGCGCAGGCAGGCUUCAAUGCAGGAGAUGGCUAUAGGUAUUUUAAUAUUCCAGGCUCUCGCACGGAUGAUAUUGCAGGGAUUGGAAACACCACUAAUGUAGGAAUUCCUGGACGUUGGGUUUUUCGAAUCGACAACAACCAUGUGCAGGUUGGGGGAUGCAGUAAUGCAACCUCUGUUUGCUGGACCCUGCGCCCCUGCCGCAAUGGUGGCCGAUGUAUUGAUGACUGUGUGACUGGGAACCCCUCUUACACGUGCUCUUGUCUAAGUGGCUUCACUGGGAAACACUGCCAUAUUGAUAUGGGAAGAUGCUUCUCUCAGCCAUGUCAAAAUGGCGGCACCUGUGUGGAUAAACCCAGAUCCUUCUCCUGUAGAUGUACCACAGACUUUACCGGACCAUUGUGUGAGACAGAGGUAUCGCCCUGCACUGGCAAGGAAUGCUGGAAUGGAGGAGUCUGCCAUGUUUACCAUGGGAUUGCAGUGUGCCAAUGCCACCCCCGAUAUACAGGGAAUCAGUGUGAGACAGAGAUACUACCCUGUUCUUCUACUCCUUGUCUAAAUGGAGGAAUAUGUGAAGAUUUUGGGACAACAUACCGCUGCCUAUGCAAUUCCAGAUUCACGGGGGCAAACUGUGAAAGAGAAGUCAGACCUUGCUCUUCUGGACCGUGUUUGAAUGGAGGAACUUGUGUGGAGUCAGGUCUUAGUUACACGUGUUCUUGCUUAUCAUGGUUCACUGGAGAGCACUGUGAGAAUGAGAUCAGACCAUGCUCUUCAGCUCCAUGUAUGAACGGGGCAACAUGUGAAGAUUUAGGUGAUAGCUACUCUUGUCUCUGUACACAGGGAUUUACUGGUCUGAACUGUGAGACAGAGCUUAAUCCCUGCUCAUCCUCUCCAUGUCUAAAUGGCGGCCUCUGUAAAGAUGUGGGUUCUAGUUUCAGCUGCUCGUGUCUGCAAAGAUUCACUGGGAGAAGAUGUGAGACGGAGCUUAAACCGUGUUUUUCAUCCCCUUGUCUCAACGGUGGAAUUUGUGAGGAUGUGGGUGAUACAUACAGAUGUGAGUGCACACAGAGGUUUACUGGGAGGCACUGUGAAACUGAGAUCAGGCCGUGCUUUUCUGAUCCAUGUCAUAAUGGCGGAACAUGUGAAGAUGAUGGGAACCUCUACAUCUGUUUGUGCAGGCAGGGCUUUACUGGGGCACACUGUGAGACAGAAAUCAGACCAUGCUUCUUAAUGCCCUGCUUGAAUGGUGGAUCCUGUACAGACUUAGCUGAUGGUUACAAAUGUCUAUGUAGCCAUAAAUUCACCGGAAGAAACUGCGAGACAGAGGUCCGACCCUGUUGGUCAUCUCCUUGCCUUAAUGAAGGGUUGUGCAGAGAUCUGGUAGAUGGUUAUAGCUGUGUUUGUACAGGGGGCUUUACUGGUGACCGAUGUGAAACAGAGAUUCUGCCCUGUUCUUCUUCUCCUUGCCUGAAUGAAGGAUUGUGUAAGGAUCUCGGCGCUGAGUACAUUUGUCUGUGUCCACGGGGAUUCAUUGGAGAACGUUGUGAAACAGAGCUUAGACCCUGCUCAUCCUUUCCAUGUCUUAAUGGGGGCAUCUGUGAGGAUACAGCUGAAGGAUACAUCUGUCUGUGUAAACAAGGAUACACUGGAAAUCAAUGCCAGACAGAAAUCAGACCUUGUAUUUCAUCUCCUUGUCUGAAUGCGGGUGUUUGCAGAGACGUGGGGAUUACUUAUGUGUGCGUUUGUGCACAAGGAUUCACUGGGACGCACUGUGAAAGAGAAGUAAAGCCUUGUUCCUCAUCUCCUUGUCUGAAUGGUGGAAUGUGCAAUGAUAAAUAUGAUAGUUACAGUUGUGUGUGUACAUGGGGAUUCACCGGAAAACACUGCGAGACUGAGUCCAGGCCUUGUCUGUCAUCGCCUUGUAUCAAUGAUGGUACCUGCGAGGAUAUGGGUGAUGGUUACAUCUGUGUGUGCCCCACUGACUUUACUGGAGUGCACUGUGAGACAGAGAUGUUGGAACUACCGAGACCAUGCAUCUCCUCUCCAUGUCAGAACAAUGGUGUAUGCAGUGAAUCAGAUGGUGCCUAUUUAUGUGACUGUCCUGCUGCUUAUACUGGGAUCCAUUGUGAGAACCAUUUGUCCGAUGGCUGUGCCUGUAGGAAUGGGGGGCGCUGUGCUGAUGGAAACAACACCUGCCAUUGUCUUCCGGGGUUCUUUGGUCUUCACUGUGAAUAUGAAGUCACGUCUCUGCCCUGCAGUAUGGGCUCCCAAUGCCCAGAUGGAGGCUCCUGCAUGGAAUAUGGAGGCAGCUACCGGUGUGUGUGUCACACAGAUUAUAUCAUCAGCAACCACUCACUGCCCUCUCCCUGUGAUUCUGACCCCUGCUUAAAUGGAGGAAGAUGUGAGUCUCAGGAUGAUACCUAUUCCUGUGUGUGUCCCCGUGGAUUCAUAGGGAAAAUGUGUGAAAAGGUAAAGCCUGCCCUGUGUAGUUUGCUACCUUGUCGAAAUGGAGGAACAUGUAAGGAGGCGCAUGAUGAUUAUUACUGUAUGUGCCCUUAUCCUUUCACCGGAAAACACUGUGAGACAGGAAUGAGAGGCCCGUGUUCAUCUGGUCCAUGUCACAAUGGAGGCACAUGUUUUCACUACCUUGGCAAAUACAAAUGUGAUUGUCUACCACAUUUCUCUGGCCGACACUGUGAGAAAGUGGAAUUGGACUGUGGACCUCCAGAACAAGUAAAGUAUGCUAAAGUAAUUGUACCAUCAACAUGGCCUGGUGGAAAAGCAGAAUACUAUUGUGAUGAGGGAUACGUAAUGAGCAGCCCAAACAAUACCCGUAUAUGCAGUGAGGAUGGCAUGUGGAGUGAAGCCCCACAGUGUGAGGAAAUUGAUGAGUGUCAGUCACAACCAUGCCAAAAUGGUGCUGUGUGCAAGGAUCGGGUGUCUCACUUCUUGUGUGAUUGUCAAGAAGGAUACAGCGGAAAACAUUGUGAACUGGACAUCAAUGAGUGCUCCUCAGAUCCAUGUAAAAAUGGAGGAACUUGCCAGAAUUUACCUGGAGCCUACCUUUGUGCCUGCCCUGAGGGCUUCUUUGGUGCCCACUGUGAGACUGAGCUGGAUGGCUGCGAGUCUUCUCCUUGUCAGAAUGGUGGCAAGUGUGAGAAUCUGGCAGGUUCCUACCUUUGUGUGUGUCCUAGAGGUUUCUAUGGCUAUCACUGUCAGACAGUAAGUGACUUAUGCUUGCUGAAUCCAUGUGGCAGCCGCGGUGUCUGCGUGUCCAGUGCAGAGGGUGCAGUCAGCUGUAAUUGCCGAACUGGCUAUACCGGCCUCACUUGUGAGAGAGAUCUGCUGCCUCCUCUGUCAUUGUCCUUGGGUGCUGUGGGAGAAAACAGUGUUUGGGUCUUUUGGACACCUCCUGAAGAAGUGCCUGGACAUUUAUCAAAUGGUUUUGCUGUGAGCUACUCGGCUCCAGAUGGCUCCUCAAGGACAGACUUUGUGGAGAGAGGUCAAACGGAGCAUGAGUUGCGAGGCCUCAGCCCUGGGCGCCCUUAUAACAUCACCAUUGUCACUGUGAAACGCAACCUGCGCCACAAUGAUAUAAGCCGUCCCCUUACUCUCUCUGCUCGUACAAGACCACCUACAGUGGACAGACCACGGGUCACUUCUGUUACAGAGUCUUCCAUUACCGUUUCUUGGUCACUCAACCCACACAGACACUUACCUGUGGCACAUGUUAGACUGUCCUUGCAACAUCCGAAUGAAAGGAUUCAGCAAGCAGAACAGGAACCUUCAGCAGGAGAAUAUACAUUUAGAGAUCUUCUACCUGGUGAAAAAUAUUCCAUUCAAAUCAGUACUUUAAGCAGUUCCGAACCUGGCAACCCAUCAUCAGAAAGCCUGCCCAGUGUACCCCUGCUAGCUUGGACACGUCCCCUUCCUCCCAGUAACUUCUCCGCAGUACUGGUCACUACAAGCACUGUACACUUGAACUGGGAUUCACCCCCUGAAGGCUCUGUGGAUGGAUACAUAUUUAAUGUAACACACAACCACAGCACCAAGAGUCGGUACAUACCUAAUGGGAAAAUGACAUCAUAUACUGUACGAGACUUACAGCCUGGACAGCGAUACCGGAUUAUUGCAACUGCUCUGCGUAAUACUCCACAAGGCCCGGUGAAUAGUGACCCAAAAACUCUAAGAAUACAAACAUUGCAGAGGGAGGGAUCUCAGGAGCCCAGAUGGACCCCUCCUCGGAUUUUAAGGAACAGACCCCCACCACAGACCCCUCCAGAAAUACGCAUGCUAACAGAGAGGGGUCCACCUCCAGCAGAGACUCCACAAGCCCACAGCUUUACAGAGCUGACAGACGGACGAAGACGUAUCACUGCUAGAUUCAGUCAUCAUAGCAAUAGGUCCCUCAACAUCACUAAAGAACCUGAAGCGCCUAUCAGGGUGGAGAAUACUGAAGAGUCCUCUAUCCCAGUAAGACAAGCACUACAACUGCAAGACCCUGAGCAAAGUACCAGAGAUGGUACCCGUGGAGGAUGCUUGGAAACACCUUGCAUUAAUGGAGGAACCUGCGUGAAUGGAGAGAUCUGUGACUGCCCACCAGGAUUUAAAGGGCAUCAAUGUCAGUUAGCCUGCAGAAAAGAAUCCUUCGCCUGCACCAGACUCUACUCGGAAACGCUGUCACAUCCUGUGUGGGAGGGAGGAGUCUGUCACCACCUGUACAGGAGAGUGUAUAAGAUCCAACAUGAUGUAUGCUCCAGAGAGAUCUGUGAAGGCACUGCCAGAGGCCGAUCAAAAAAGAGACUCCCAAGCAAACCUUGAUGAUAAGAUCAGACACAGAAGCACUAGGCACUGCUUGGGGAUGGAUUCAUACAUCGUAUGGCCCCAUGUGAGGCAUUGAGCUUGUCUGCCCCUCUCCCAACUUCAUGGGUCCCUGCAACUUCUCUCAGCGUGCCAGGACACAGCUGGCACCGGCCAUAUUAUGCCGUCACUGAGUCACCAAAGGAGAAACUCUUCCCUGGUCCAUUUGGGGUGGCAUUCCCUUUUCUCUUCAGCCAAAGAUCUGCAAGACCAUGACCCCUCCUACCUUCAGGCCUGGUAACACUUGUACUGUCUAAUCUGUCGGACAGGAAGAGCACAGGAUUGCUGCCUCUCCUACCAAUCUCACUCCGAUCAUCUCUUGUCACUCAAUGACCCAAACUGGCCAAGUGCUGGCCCCAAUAUUGGAACAUGUAGCACAAAACUCCCCAUAUCCAUGUCAGUUUUAUAACGAAUGCUGGAAUGGCCUGCAGAUUGUUACUCUGUGGCGCUUCUAUGAACUGGCACAGGUAUAAUGGACUUGUAUGUGGGAGAUAGACACCUCUCUACUAUGAUGACCACAGAAACAUGUCUCUGCUGCUCUGUUUCGUCACUGCAGUUUUGAAUGGUAAAACUUCUCAGUUAUGUAGCUUAGAAACUGAAUCUCCGUGGGAGACUCUAAAGCAUUCUGUGUAUAUGGGAUCAUCCCCCAGUCUGUCAUAAGGUAAAGGGUAAAGUGUUGUUUAUUUAGGAUGACAGGGCCUUGCCCAGAAAUGACCAGGUCCCACAUACACUGUAGCAGCAGCAGUAAGUCAGAGCGUUGUGCAGGACUUUUUACUAGCUCAGGCAGCAGCAUGUUAGGCUGUACCUCCAGGUGAGGGAACGACAGCACUAAGAACUGCAGCUAACAGGAUUGGGCUCUAACAGUGUUUGUAACGUGUUGUCAUCAGACCAGGCGCUUUGUUUUUUUGUUUUGUUUUUAUAAUAAAACAUUUUAUAAAACAAGUGCAUGUUGUUCUCGUACUAUUCUGCCAAGCUCAUUCAUUUUGUAGGCUACAAAUAAACAAAGAGAUGCUGGCUGGUGCUUACAAACUGCUAGGUAGCAAGGCCAAAUGCCGGAGUGUCUUCCAACUGCAACACGAGCCUUGGACAUGUGUGGCACUUUUUCUGGCAUAAAGAAGACAUAUGUUUCCAGCAAAUGCAAAGAUAGGUUUAUCACCAUGAACAAUCUCUAUGUAGUCUUCCUCUUUAGAGUCCUCUUCACUAUCUGAAUCUUGCUCCUCUUCAUCAUCACUACUUAGCUCGUCUUCCAUGUGCUCUUCACAUUCAAGCUCCUCUCGCUCCA